rnacentral:lncRNA from 1 species
AUUCCAAAGCAAAAGAACAUGGCUGGAACAUGCUGAAAACACGUUUCGAUCAAAUUGCACGACACUUCCAUUUUGGCACCGGACAGCAUCCCUCGAUCAAACGAGCACACACUAAUUUUUAUCUGGAUGCAUUAGAAGGUGAUCGGACUGAAUGCAAGAAUCCUGCCAUUUUGAAAAGAAACGGAAAAAAUCACUGCCUCACGAAUGAUCCUCUUACAACCACAGAAGAUUCCCUUCAACAACUUAACAGGCUCUUCAAGUUAAAUACACAGAACCACCACGUAAGCGUCAUAGCUCUCAAAAAAUCAUCAUUUUAUAAAACAUGACGCUUUGCAUGGUAGCAGAAUUUUGACAUUGACAAAAAUAUCACUAAUCCAAAAUGCUAAACGCUUCGUUCACGUCACUAAUCGACUGGGCCACAUGUCGGGCUUAGUUGGAAAAGGAAGAUCAAGUUUAAUUUGUCUAUGUGGCAUUUAUUUCCUGCCAACUCAGCCCGGCAUGUGGCCCUAACCGAUUAGUGACGUCAGUGAAGCGCCUAGCAUUACGGAUCAAUGUUUUUUGUCACUGUCAAAAUUCUAAUGUGGUACGAAGUGUCAUGUGUUUUUGUAAAGUAAUGAGUUUCUAAGAGCUAUGACGGUAAUGUGGUGGUUUUGUGCAUUUAACUCCACGCUUUCCCGCAAAAAAACAACAACUUAGCAAGCUGCUUCCUCACAGAAGUUAUCUUGUAUUGUACUCCAAUAUCUCAAGCAUACUCUAUACAAUAGACGAUGCCCCGACGCGUUGCUGCGGGAAACAUGCUAAAAGAAUACAUGAAAGUUGCUCAUGUCGUGUGGUUGCAUUUCUAGUAAAUAUAGCUAGUGGGUGCUAGCUAUUUAGAAAUAGAAGAUACGCAAAGGAAACAUAUGUGUCCACUUUAUUUAUUGUUCUCAAGAACAGUAGCAAGAGUUAGAACGGGUUAAAUCGUAUACGGCUAUGACAGACAUAAACUUGGAUGCUCGAAAAACUGGCCAACAUGGGAUAGCACUUACUGCCGGUGACACCUUGCUGAUGGUGGUUUUGACUUCUCUCUCCCUCCCCUCUUCGCCAAGUGUGUCUCGCCGCCAAUCUCCUCAGCCUGCACAUUCAGCCGAGCACCACCUACCCCUCAAUGCAACUGCUUCAUAAUUCGUCCAUCACCUCUCCUCAACAAGAGAUUGUGUGGGCACAUGAUGCGGUUCAUGACACGGGACAGCACACCCAUGGCACUCCGCCGCGGUUGGAUGCGGCCAAGAAUCAUCGGUGUGGCACCGGGAUCCUGGUCAACAGAGGAGACAUUGCACGUGUGGUGUGCAAUUGACUUGCUAUCAGUUGCCUUUGUUAUCUAACACUGAAUUCUUCAUUCGUGUUGUCCUAAGAUGGAUGUAACAGUACCUACCCUAUUCAGACUAUGAUUCACCAACAUAUGGUGCACAGACUGUGCGCCACCGCACAUCUUUAACCUUGAACCUUUUGGUGUACUCCAAUAUCUCAUACACUAUAAAACAUGGAGAAAUAUAUGCAUCAACUUAUAAAUUCUCAGUGGCGAUAGGG